GAGGACCAUGACCUAGUGAAUGGAUUAAUCCUUUGAUGGUUUAAUGGUAGUCAUGGGUGUGGUUCUGAUGGCUUCACAAGGAGAGCAAUUGAGGAGUUAGCGCUCUCUGCCAUUUGCCAUGUGACACUUGCAUCACUGCAGAGUCACUACCAGCAAGGCCCUCACCAGAUGUGUUCCCUGGACUGCGGACUUCCCAGCCUGUGAAACUGUAAGAGAAUAAAUUUUGUUUCUUUAUAAAUUACCACGUUUCAGGUAUUCUGUUAUAAGCAACAGAAAUGGACUAAUUCACAGAAUGAUAAUGACAUAACUAUUUCUUAAUUGGGUAAGUUUCUCUUAACCCUGGAAAAAGUUUCUGUUUAAGCUUAGAAAUGGAAGUAAAUUAAACCCAUGCUUUUGAUAUUUGGGGGCUAAGUAUAGGUGAUCUGUAUGUAUUUGGUAUUUUAAGAACUUGUCACUUGAAGAGAAUGUGGCCUCUGGAGUGUGCUGUGCACUGGCCUCGUGCUUCCGAUUUAAAACACAUGAUUGGGUAAUUGCCAAGGACUUGUGAGUUAAGAUGAAAGGUUCAGUACAAUUUUAUGAAGAUUAUAAGCAGUACGGGAACAUUUAAGAGAACUUAGGAUUCACCAUAUUUAGGGCUGGCUGGAGGCUCACUUGGUUAGAGCACGGUGCUGGUAACACCAAGGUCAGAGGUUCAGGUCCCUGUAAGGCCAGCCACCAAAAGAAAAAAAAAGAAAAAAAUUCACUGAAUUUAGCUGGUUAAGCACUUGGGAAAGCUCAUAAGAAAGCUGAAGUAUUAAAAAGUAUAAGGUAUUAUUUGUAUAUAUGUAUUUUAAAAGUUUUAAGGCAGUUAAAAUUUGUCAGUAUUAUAAAAUAAAGUUAUAAAUAGAAUCAUGGCUUUAAAGUUGAAUCUAAAAGCUUAAGGAAAGCAUAAAAUUUUGAAUUUGAAUAAGGGGAAUAUUAAUUAAAAAUGAAAAUAGUUCCAAGUAGUCUUUAGUAUAUAUAAAAGCCACCCUCAAUUACAAUAAAAAUAUAAAAUCUGAUUUUUUUUACAGUUGUUCAAAGUCAUUUGCUCCUUACAUUGGCCAAGAAUGAGUAUUCUCUGCAUUUUACAGGUGAGGAAACACAGGUAGAGGCAGGAAGAAGUGACCGUGUAGCGGCCCCAGCCAGCUCGAGCAAGUGCCGACGCUGGGCCUGGUCCUGCAGCCCCCACCACGGCCUCCUCCAGCCUGGCUCUCGUUCACUGUUUACUUUGGCCUCUAAAGUGUCCUUAUUACAGAUGGGGAAACCAAGACAUGGUGCGGCCAAGUAACUCGUCCAUGAAGCCACAUGGCUACUGAGAGGUGAUGUCCCAUGUUACAACACCAAUGCUACCCCAGACACGGGGGUCACAAGGGGAGGGGGCAGUGCUGCAGGAACAAGAAGAUCCCUGGGACAGAGUCACGGUGGUGAGUGUCUGCUCAACUCCGCCUACGGAAGAGAAGCCUUCACAUCUCAGAUUCCUCCAGAAAGUGAUGCUCCCUGUAGAUUCUUUUCUUUAGGAGCGGAUGAUCGCGCUGUCUACAGCAAACUAGGAAAAUUAAACAUAUACUGUUUUAAUGGAAGGAAAUGGAUUUUUCUAAUCUAAGUAAAACAUAGAAUCCAGUAAAUGACACUCAUGCUGCUCAUGGAGGGGCAUGGAAAUGAGACAUUCACAUCAGUGACAUAAUGAGUAGCUGAUUGCCCAGCCAAAUCAAUUUUGGAGUUUUCUUAUUUAGUAAGUCCUCCAGCAUCUAUAAUCAUCUUUUAAUUUUUUGUAAAACUUUUCAUUUUGAGUUAGUUUCAGAUUUACAAAAAUGUUGUAAAGAGUACAAAGAAUUCCCAUAAACCUUUCACCCAAAUUCCCCAAAUGUUACAUAACCACAGCACAAUUACCAAAAUCUGGAAAUUAGUAUUGGUACAACACUACUCAGAGUUCACCAGCUGUCCCACCAGCGUCCUGUCUGCGGUUCAGGAGCCAGCCCAGGAUCCCACGGUCCAGUUGGUCGUACCUCUGCAGUCUCCUUGAAUCCGGAACACUUCCUCCAUCUUUGUCUUUCAUGAUUUUGACAUUUUUGAAGAAGUACUGGCUAUUUUGUAGAACGUCCCUUAUCUUGGGUGUCUCGUGUUUCCUCAUGAUUCAAUUCAGGUUGUGCACUUUUGGCCGAAAUACCACAGACAUGAUGCUGUGCCUUUUCCAUGAAUCAUACCAGGAGGCACCUGAUAUUGGUUUUUCCAUUCCUGGUGACAAUAACUUUGAUCACCUGGUUAAGGUGAGGUCUGCCAGGCUUCUCCCCUGUGAAGUGACCAUCUCUCCUUUUGUAAUUAACAAUUAUCUUGUGGGAAGAUACCUCGACACUGUCCAUACCCUGCUUCCUACUGUAUUUCUGCUGUAGCCUUGGCAUCCACUGACAGUUCUUCCCUGAUACACCUGUUACUGCAGUGUUUGCCAAACGGUGCUGUUUCCGGUUCCUCGAUUCCUCCUGCACUCACUAGCUGGAAUUCUACUGUGGAUAAAGCUUUCCCUUCUCCCCCAUUUAUUUAUUCAUUUAUACUUAUUUAUAUUAGUACAGAUGCCUGGAUUCUUAUUUUAUUCUAUGGAUUACAAUCCAUUUACUACCAUGAUUUUAUCUUGUUGCUUGAAUUGUCCCAAAGGGGCCCCUUCCAGUUGGCUCGUGUGCCUUUUGGAUGCGUCCCCAUUAUUUUUGGGCACAACCACAACAAAAUGGUUGCUUACUUUCUGGCACCACAAGAUGUUUCAGGCUCAUCUUGUACUUUUCCACCCUAACCCUUCAUUUCUCCAAGGCCUCCUGAUUCCUUUUAUUGGAGAAGCCGAGAUCUGUGAGUUAGAUGUGUUCAUGUAAUUACUUUUAAUGUUCAUAGUUUUCUCCGACACUGUGGGUUGUUAAGCCUUUCAUCGUCACGCUCACACACACACACGCGCGCGCGUGCACACACACACACGUGGACUCAGUUAGGGGCUCCCCCAGCAGCUGGACUUCUCAUGCCCAACAGCACUGCGUCCCAGCACUGUGCCUGUGCCCACCGCACUCCUGAGGCCAAGGCUUCCUCCUAACUCCCGGAGGACAGUGAAAGCAGCCCCUCCCUGCUCCCAGCUGUAAUAAUAAUAAUGAUUAAUAAUAAUAAUAAUGAUGACAGCUAC